rnacentral:rRNA from 1 species
UACGUAGGGUGCAAGCGUUGUCCGGAAUUAUUGGGCGUAAAGAGCUCGUAGGCGGCUUGUCGCGUCGGCUGUGAAAACCCGGGGCUCAACCCCGGGCCUGCAUUCGAUACGGGCAGACUAGAGUUCGGUAGGGGAGUCUGGAAUUCCUGGUGUAGCGGUGAAAUGCGCAGAGUAUCAGGAGGAACACCGGUGGCGAAGGCGGGACUCUGGGCCGAUACUGACGCUGAGGAGCGAAAGCGUGGGGAGCAAACAGG